rnacentral:rRNA from 1 species
GAUGAACGCUGGCGGCGUGCCUAACACAUGCAAGUCGUACGAGCUCGAUCUUCGGAACGGGUUAGUGGCGCACGGGUGAGUAACACGUAGGUGACCUACCCCAGAGUGGGGGAUAACUUCUCGAAAGAGAGGCUAAUACCGCAUACACUCGGUCAUUCAUUUGGCCGAGCAAAGCUCCGGCGCUUUGGGACGGGCCUGCGUCCGAUUAGCUAGUUGGUAGGGUAAUGGCUUACCAAGGCUUUGAUCGGUAGCUGGUCUGAGAGGACGAUCAGCCACACUGGCACUGACACACGGGCCAGACUCCUACGGGAGGCAGCAGUGAGGAAUAUUGGGCAAUGGGCGAAAGCCUGACCCAGCAACGCCGCGUGAGGGAUGAAGGCCUUCGGGUUGUAAACCUCUUUUCUGGGAGAAGAGACAAGGACGGUAUCCCAGGAAUAAGUCUCGGCUAACUACGUGCCAGCAG